rnacentral:lncRNA from 1 species
CUUCACCUCCCAUUGUCUCUGUCUCUCUCUUUCUCCUCUGCUUCCCCUCCCCCCACAACCAAAGUCAAGAGUGCAGACCCCAUGAUCACCUGAUACCUACAAGCAAGCAGGUGUUCUUUUCAGAAGCCAGAAGCUGAUAACCUGGGCUUUCUGAUCUAACCCCAGCCCAAAUUCUUUGCAAUGGAGGAAUGGGGAGGAGAUUCUUCCUACUGAGAAGUGGGUGCCAACUCUCCCUUUCAAAUUUGUUCAUCAACAAACUAAAGGGGAUGCCAGAAAUGUCUGGAGCAAUGGAAGAACCACUGGAAUAAUGCUCCUGCCUGAUUGCAUCUACUUAACCCACUCUCCAAGAGCUAGAAUCAGAUUUCAACCGUAUGGAAUCAUCUACAAUGCAGCAGAUGGGUUUACAAGUCUCUUGGUCUCUUCGUGUAAUUAACAGCCAAGAAGUCUAAAGCUUGCAUUGUUUACGUGGAAGAUGUUUCUUGCCCAUUCCCACGCCAUGCCAUCUGAAAUCGCUCCUUUUUUUAUUUUUUCUGUGCAGUUUUUUUAACUUUGUGGGAUCCUCUGCAUAUAAAACUCCAUUCAAC